AAAAAACGUAACAAGGUUUCCGUAGGUGAACCUGCGGAAGGAUCAUUG
rnacentral:rRNA from 6 species